UUAAGCAAAGGAGGAGUUGUUAGAGCGAGUUCCCAGGACAGUAUUUUCCUGGUAUCCAUCCAGAACACAGGGGCUGGGAGGAUCUCCUCCCCUGCUCAGGAUCAGACCCGCAGCCCAGGGGGAAGCAUGGACACCACCAUGGAGAAAAACAUGGCCCAGAACAGGGUGAAUCCCUCUUUGCAAUGGAGCAGAGAAGCCCAUUGCCCUGCACACCUCCAGCUAUCCGUGUAGUCCUCUUUCACCAAAUGUUGCAACCUGCCAAUGAUGCAGCUUGCAGUGAAGGGGGCUUUACCACUUGAGAAGUAGCACUGCCCCUUCCCGCCAGUCUCCUGCCCCGUCUCCGGGACAGGGGUGGGCUCCAGGGAGGCGGGAAGGGGGCAGCCAGGCACAGUCAGAUACAACUCCCCUACCUGCACACUUUGUGCUCUGGCUCCACAGAAAACAAGAAAACUUUUUCAUUAGUGGAAAAAAAGAUGCAGGCGUGUUAAGAAAUAACAGAAGAUUUUAAAGAGGUGAUGCCUCAAUUCUUCUCUAAGCCACAGGGAAUCAAACAUGAAUGGACGAAGCUUUUCUUUAUGCCCCAGCUCUAGAGCUCGAUGCAGCUCCUGUUGCUCCGCUCAAAAGCCGAGUUUUCAAUGGACAGGUUUUCCCCGCUGCAGUCCUGCCAUAAGUCCUUUUGUCAGGGGCCAAAAAAUAAGGACUUGACAGUAAGUCCUCUCACACAGGCUUUCACAUUUUGGGCCAGACUAAUUAACAGGAAAUUUCCCAAGGAGACGAACUCUCCGAGACCAGCUUUGCAGGUUGUCCUGGGAUCCAGGUGGGAAUAAGGAAGUGCAGAAGAGGCUGCAGCUCAGAGGAGCAAGGACAAAAGGGGACUCUGAAUCCUGUGCAGGUGACAGCUUGCUGCUACUGGGCUUGGGGACCUGGAGAGGUUUGUGUCCUUUCCCCCACCUCCUGCAUCAGGCAGGGAGCAGGUCUGCAUUCUUCUUCCUCCUGAGAGAGAGACACGAGCAUCCCUUAGCAGUUUAGUGGUGCAGCUGCCCCCGUCUUUGACCUGUGUCACCCCUCAGAAACCUCCCUGAGGUUCAGGCCUCCUUGGAGUGGGAGGCAGCACCCUGCUGCUGCACCCUCUUUACCCCGCAACUCAGUGCCACUGAACAGAAAAUGGCCCUGGCCCGGCACAGGGAAAUCUUUGCAAACAAGCUUCCACAGGUGUCCUGGAGUCCAAGAAAAAGGCAGCAGAACGCUCAGAGUCCCAGCUUCACCUGAAAGACCCAGCUGCUCCAGCACAGGGGAGACCAAGAUCUCCCUCCUUCUCCAGCUUCCCCAUGAUUUGUUUUAUUCCCGUCGGCUGGUGAUUGCAAAGACAUCACCGAUCAGCUUCAGCUGUAUGAAGGCACGGCUCACGGAUCUGUGCAGGUUUCAGCUGCAUCGCAGGUCCUGCUGCAGGACCUGCUCCAGCCCGCCUGGCACAGAGACAUGUGGCAGAGUACCAUCCUGCCUCCACUAGUGGGGAAGUAGAUGCAGACAGCGAGGAAAAGAAGAACGACAGAACUGAGGACAGCAGCACCAACAGUGACAGCAGCAGUGAGUCCUCCAGCGGGAGCAACAGCAACAUGGACAGUGGGUGAAUUGAGCCUGUGACUGCCACCGGGCGGGGAUGAAGGGAAUAGUUUGCCUUUGUACGGCUGUAGACACCAGGUCACAUCACAGCUGUCGGCACCUCUAGGAUCCCAUUCCCACCAUCAGGAGAUCCCUGCCAGCCAAAUGCCACCCUUGGAGACCAGGGAGCAAACCAGUAGGGAGCACCCACAGUGCAUGAGACACAUCAGCACCCCAACGUGCGUCCAGACCGUUCCUGUGGGGAGAUCUCAGGCUGAGCACCCCAGCUUUCAGGAAGGAAUUGCUGACUCUCCUCAGCACCACUUUGGCCAUCAUAGGUCCUACCAGCCUCAGAGGGCUGGAUUUGGCCAUAAGCACCUCCCCAGAUCCUUUCCCAGUGGGAUUGCUCACUGCAGUGUUUGGUUUGGAUCUUCACUGAGCACCAGAGGCCUGAAUCCUUUGUCCCUUUUUCUGGCUUGGAUGUGGGGUCUCAUCUGCUCAGAAACUUCUCCCACGGGUUCAGUCCGUGCCCCAGUGCUUAGAGUCUUUCAGAGCUCCCGUCCAUCCUGCCCUGUCCCAUCUCAGAGAAGCUGUCCUCUACCUACACUCUCCCCACCCUGUUACAUUACCUUUCACAGCAAGAGAAAAGGCACCGGGCACAGCAGUCUCAGAAACAACACAGGACACAGACAAGCACCAGCAUCCUCAGGAUUGCCACCACUACAGCCAAAGCCACCACCGUGGCAGAGACCCAUGGGAAAAAUUGAUUUGCAAGAGAAAGUGUCAUUCACUUGGCAGUCCUGAGUGAAUAAAUGCAAAUGGUUUGGGGGCAACUAUGGCUUUCCCUGGGACCCUCCUGAUGGUUUUUAGGCUGACGGGGAUCAUCCAUGCUUCAUGCUUAGUAUACUGGAAACCCAAGCUCCAGCAGCCACUGCCUGCCCUAAUGCAGCCACUGUCCUGCUCACUGCCCUGAGGCAACAGAGUGGUAAAUCCAGAAAUAAACUAGACCCAGAAGCACAUGUCCUGGGUGCAGAAACCUCUAUCAGCCUGCAGGAAGAGAUAGCGACCUCCCCUUCCUCAGGGUAUCAUGGGAUCCUCAUGGGAAGUGGCUGCCUCCUCCAGCAGGUCACCAAAGACAAACACUGACCCUGCAGUCACAGGCUGACAGCUGAGCUCCGUGUCAGUGCGAGGGUGUCCUGAAUCUCAGGGUGACCCGCUCAUGCCAGGCAGCGCAGGCUGCACCCAGGGCUCAGUCAGGUACUGAAGUGCUUGAGUGCCAGUCAUGGAGCCACAGACACUUAUCUCCUGCAAGGAUGCCGGCAUUGAGCAAAUGUCAGCCCGGGAGCUAGACCCCUCCUUGUCUGUCCAGCAGCGUGUCCCCAGUGCUUUGUCAGUGGUUUCUAGAUGUGGCCCUCAGGGGAUUCCUGCUGCUGCUCUCUAACCCUAGAAGCUGCCAAUGGCCCAACAGCAAAUUCACCCUCACCCUUCUCCCAAGGGCUGUGAGCGUGUUACAUUUCACAGUUGAAGUAGUUGGACUCAGUCAGACCUUGCACCAGAGCCUGCCAGGAGAGCACGUCCAGGUACCAGGAGAAGUCUGGGAGCACACUGUAAUCAGUGCAGCCCCAGGGGCAGGAUCAUGGGGACAUGACCCAAAGACCAGUGAAGUUUCUUGUGAGAUUUCUCCAUGGUGCACCACUGCACUGUGCUGGGAUUGCUGCACGGGCUGUAUACGUGUAGUCACAGACUCAGAAAAAGCACGGUCUCUUCACACUGUGCCACGCUUGGGGAACUGCUGUCCUAAUGUGGGGGAGAGGGGUCAACUCCAGGAGCCCUGCCCUGGGGUGAAGCUUUCACAACACAGGCCUAAUGGGAAGCCCCAAACUGCAGCCCUUCCCCUGCCUCCCUGGAAGCCUGGUCCUGCAUCUGUG